GGUCAAGUGAAGAAGCGCAUACGGUGGAUGCCUUGGCAGUCAGAGGCGAUGAAAGACGUGGUAGCCUGCGAAAAGCUUCGGGGAGUCGGCAAACAGACUUUGAUCCGGAGAUCUCUGAAUGGGGGAACCCACCUAGGAUAACCUAGGUAUCUUGUACUGAAUCCAUAGGUGCAAGAGGCGAACCAGGGGAACUGAAACAUCUAAGUACCCUGAGGAAAAGAAAUCAACCGAGAUUCCCUUAGUAGUGGCGAGCGAACGGGGAUUAGCCCUUAAGCUUCAUUGAUUUUAGCGGAACGCUCUGGAAAGUGCGGCCAUAGUGGGUGAUAGCCCCGUACGCGAAAGGAUCUUUGAAGUGAAAUCGAGUAGGACGGAGCACGAGAAACUUUGUCUGAACAUGGGGGGACCAUCCUCCAAGGCUAAAUACUACUGACUGACCGAUAGUGAACCAGUACCGUGAGGGAAAGGCGAAAAGAACCCCGGAGAGGGGAGUGAAAUAGAACCUGAAACCGUAUGCGUACAAGCAGUGGGAGCCUACUUGUUAGGUGACUGCGUACCUUUUGUAUAAUGGGUCAGCGACUUAUAUUCAGUGGCAAGCUUAACCGUAUAGGGUAGGCGUAGCGAAAGCGAGUCUUAAUAGGGCGUUUAGUCGCUGGGUAUAGACCCGAAACCGGGCGAUCUAUCCAUGAGCAGGUUGAAGGUUAGGUAACACUGACUGGAGGACCGAACCCACUCCCGUUGAAAAGGUAGGGGAUGACUUGUGGAUCGGAGUGAAAGGCUAAUCAAGCUCGGAGAUAGCUGGUUCUCCUCGAAAGCUAUUUAGGUAGCGCCUCAUGUAUCACUCUGGGGGGUAGAGCACUGUUUCGGCUAGGGGGUCAUCCCGACUUACCAAACCGAUGCAAACUCCGAAUACCCAGAAGUGCCGAGCAUGGGAGACACACGGCGGGUGCUAACGUCCGUCGUGAAAAGGGAAACAACCCAGACCGCCAGCUAAGGUCCCAAAGUUGUGGUUAAGUGGUAAACGAUGUGGGAAGGCUUAGACAGCUAGGAGGUUGGCUUAGAAGCAGCCACCCUUUAAAGAAAGCGUAAUAGCUCACUAGUCGAGUCGGCCUGCGCGGAAGAUGUAACGGGGCUCAAACCACACACCGAAGCUGCGGGUGUCACGUAAGUGACGCGGUAGAGGAGCGUUCUGUAAGCCUGUGAAGGUGAGUUGAGAAGCUUGCUGGAGGUAUCAGAAGUGCGAAUGCUGACAUGAGUAACGACAAUGGGUGUGAAAAACACCCACGCCGAAAGACCAAGGGUUCCUGCGCAACGUUAAUCGACGCAGGGUUAGUCGGUUCCUAAGGCGAGGCUGAAAAGCGUAGUCGAUGGGAAACAGGUUAAUAUUCCUGUACUUCUGGUUACUGCGAUGGAGGGACGGAGAAGGCUAGGCCAGCUUGGCGUUGGUUGUCCAAGUUUAAGGUGGUAGGCUGAAAUCUUAGGUAAAUCCGGGGUUUCAAGGCCGAGAGCUGAUGACGAGUCGUCUUUUAGAUGACGAAGUGGUUGAUGCCAUGCUUCCAAGAAAAGCUUCUAAGCUUCAGGUAACCAGGAACCGUACCCCAAACCGACACAGGUGGUCGGGUAGAGAAUACCAAGGCGCUUGAGAGAACUCGGGUGAAGGAACUAGGCAAAAUGGCACCGUAACUUCGGGAGAAGGUGCGCCGGCUAGGGUGAAGGAUUUACUCCGUA
rnacentral:rRNA from 1 species